GUUUGAGGGAGAAAUUCGUAGGGUUUCUGCAGUCAAGUGUAGCUGCCUCCUCCUCCUGUAUGCUGUCUCUUUUUAUAUCCCUGAGAUUAGGGUUUGGGAGAGAUUUGAAGAGGUUUUUUUUAUUUUGAAAGUGGCUUUUGUAUGAUGCAGGGCUGCAGCAAAAGGGCAGGUUUUGGCUAAUUUUGGACAGAAGCUUUUGGCAUUGUAUGGGACAGACCACUGCAAGUUUGGGGCAGCAAGUCUUGGGCCUUUAGGCCAUCUCCAAUGGUGUAACCCAUUUUUGAGUUUUUUAUGGGUUCCACCAGCCAUAUCAUCUCAAAAUAAUUUAUUUAAUAUUUAUUUUAUUGGUGUAAUUCAUAUGGGUUCCACAACUUUAACUUAUAAAUUAAUUUGAUUGGGUACCACAAUUUUUUAGUAGUUGCAUUGCAAUGCAACUCUACUAUGACAUGGCAAAUUGAUUCAAUAUUUUAUUAUUAUAUUAAUGUCUAGUUAGAGAACUCAUUGAAAAGUACUACCAUUGGAGAUGCUCUUAGAGCUUAGGUUUAUGGGGCUGAACUCAUGUAAUAACUUGUGCCAUUUACUUGUAUCCUUUCAAUAAUUAUUUUAAGGAAUUUUGGAAUAUAUUUUGUAGUUCUUGAAAUGUUCAAAUGAGAUUAGAAUGAAACUUCUAUUUUUUUUUUGUAAGAUGUAAUGUUAAUUGCAAUUGAAUGAAAUAUGUCCUUGGAAUUUUGAAUGAA